ensembl:snoRNA
CUGCACUGUUCGUAACCUGGUUCAGUCUUCAGUAUGAACUCUGGGUUCCAUUCCAGUGCCACAGUGAGCUCCAGUGAGGCAGGGGAGCAGUGCCUCUUUGUGCUGACUCCCUGUUCACUCUCUGGGAACACUG